GGGUGUGUAGUUCAGUGGUAGAACGCUACGUUGACAUCGUAGAGGUCGCUAGUUCGAUCCUAGCCAUACCCACCA
rnacentral:tRNA from 2 species